CUACGGGAGGCAGCAGUGAGGAAUAUUGCACAAUGGAGGAAACUCUGAUGCAGCAACGCCGCGUGGAGGAUGACGCAUUUCGGUGUGUAAACUCCUUUUAUGAGUCAAGAAAAUGACGGUAGCUCAUGAAUAAGCACCGGCUAACUCCGUGCCAGCAGCCGCGGUAAUACGGAGGGUGCAAGCGUUACUCGGAAUCACUGGGCGUAAAGGACGCGUAGGCGGGAUAUCAAGUCAGGUGUGAAAUCCUACAGCUUAACUGUAGAACUGCACUUGAAACUGGUAACCAGAGGAUGGGAUGGGGAGAUGGAAUUAGUGGUGUAGGGGUAAAAUCCGUAGAUAUCACUAGGAAUACCUAAAGCGAAGGCGAUCUCCUGGAACAUAACUGACGCUAAGGCGUGAAAGCGUGGGGAGCAAACAGGAUUAGAUACCCCCGUAGUC
rnacentral:rRNA from 1 species